AUGGGGAUGAAGUUAUCUCCGACAAUGAUAACGCCGAUCUCUGUAUCAGCUGGAGAGAAUUACCAGAGCGUAUCUCAAACUUUUAAGGAUGGAUUGAAACGAGGAAUUCUUUGUCCAGAUGCUAUUCAAGUUACUCUUGAGAAUUUUCCCUACUAUCUUAGUGAGAAUACAAAGAGCAAACUCUUGACAACUGCAUCCAUACACAUGGAACACAGGGGGAAAAGGUUCAUCAGAAGUUUAUGGGGAAUUUUGUCUCUAAACCAGCGAAUUCUGUUAUCUAGUUCAUCUGGGACCGAAAUUUAUCAGGAAACAAUUGUAAAGGCCCUUGCAAAGAAGUUUGGUGCCAGACUUCUCAUUGUUGAUUCUCUUCUGCUUCCUGCUGCCAGAUGUACCAAGGUUCCAGAACCGCUCAAUGGUGUAACUUUUGGAAAAGGGAGUAGGGUAAAGUAUAUUGGCCCAAUUAUAAAACCUCCCUUUCACACAUUUAUCCACAGAGGACCAAGUAAUGGUUAUCGGGGCAGAGUGAUGCUUGCCUUCGAAAACAAUGUCAGUAGUUUCCGUAAAGUUGGAGUUAGAUUUGACAAGCCAAUUCCGGGUGGUAAUGAUCUUGGGGGUUUGUGCGACAAAGAUCAUGGCUUCUUUUGCCCUUUUAAUGAACUUCUCCCAAGCUCUUCUAGUGAUAAACAAGUUGGUAUAGACGAGUUAAAUCAGGUCAUUUCGGAAGAAAGCAAAAGUAGCACUUUGAUUGUGUUCGUUAAGGAUUUAGAGAGAACGCUGACCAGAAGUCCAGAAUCACAUGAAUCACUAGGGAAGGAACUUCCACCUGGUGUUCUAAUAAUUGCUUCUUACACUUUGGCAACCAGCCAGAUAGAUAAGUCACCUCCAAAAGGAUUAUCUUUUCCGGCGCUUGGUAAUGAUGCCCAGGCCCUUAUUAACUCUUUAUUGGGCUCUUCUGGAAGUAAAUUGCAAGAAAGAAACAAUGAUUACUCAAUAAAGCAUCUAACUAAGCUUUUCCCUAACAGAAUUUACAUUGAACCUCCGAAGGACAAAGCACAGCUAUCAUAUUUGAACAAACAAAUAAGACUUGAUGCUGAAAGCCUUAGAGCUAAAGCCAAUGUUCUUAGUAUUCGCAAGUUUCUGACCCAAUGUGAAAUUGAAUGCCACGAUGUUGAAGAAUUACCAAUUACGGAGCGACUACUGACUCAUGAUGAUGUGGAUAAGGUUGUUGGUUAUGGGAUUUCUUAUCACCUUGAGCACGAUAAACCCAAUAUGGAUGCCAAACCUGUACUUCCAACAGAAAGUCUGAAGCACGGACUCGAACGUAUACAGAGCGAGAGCAUGGCCAGUAGUAGCUCAACGAAAGCACUGAAGGACGUGGUCACAGAGAAUGAGUUUGAGAAAAGCCUUCUGUCGAAUGUUAUUGCACCCCAUGAAAUUGGAGUAACCUUUGACGAUAUCGGAGCCCUGGAGUGUGUAAAAGACACGUUAAAGGAAUUGAUUAUAACUCCUCUAAAAAGACCUGAAUUGUUCAGCAAGGGGCAGCUAUUAAAGCCUGCGAAGGGAAUAUUGCUCUUUGGACCUCCCGGCACCGGUAAAACAAUGCUUGCAAAAGCAGUAGCCACAGAAUCAGGUGCAAGCUUUAUGAAUGUAUCCAUGUCAAGCAUCGCGUCAAAGUGGUUUGGGGAAGGAGAGAAAUAUGUAAAGGCCAUUUUCUCUUUGGCAAGUAAACUAUCUCCUGCCGUAAUAUUCCUUGAUGAGGUUGACAGCAUGCUAGGAAAGAGACAAAAUCGAGAAGAGCCAGAAACCACGCGAAGGAUGAAAAAUGAAUUUAUGGUGAAUUGGGAGGGGUUGCUUACUAAAGAUGACGAACGUGUAGUGGUUCUUGCAGCCACCAACAGGCCCUAUGAUCUUGAUGAGGCAGUCAUUAGAAGGUUACCUCGCAGAUUAAUGGUGAACCUUCCUAAUGCGCCGAAUAGAGAGAGGAUUUUGAAGCUGAUACUGUCCAAAGAAGUGUUGGCAGAAGAUGUGAAUCUUGAGUCAGUUGCCAGUAUGACUGAUGGAUAUUCAGGAAGUGACUUGAAGAAUCUCUGUGUGACAGCAGCAGGGCGGCCCAUUCGCGAUCUCCUAGAGAGAGAACAAAAGGAGAAGAGUCUGGCGAUAACGGAAGGUAGGCCUGAUCCUGCGCUGCUUACAGCUGACGACAUCCGGCCUCUUAGAAUGGACGAUUUCAAAUCGGCCCAUGAUCAGGUGUGCGCUAGCGUGCCACUUGACUCCGAAAACAUGAGGGAACUUAUUCAGUGGCACGACCAGUAUGGCGACGGCGGAUCAAGGCGGAAGAGCAAAGAACAGGCCAGCAGCUACUACAUGUAG
rnacentral:rRNA from 1 species